rnacentral:rRNA from 1 species
GAUGAACGCUAGCGGGAGGCUUAACACAUGCAAGUCGAGGGGCAGCACGAGGUAGCAAUACUUUGGUGGCGACCGGCGCACGGGUGAGUAACACGUAUGCAACCUACCUUAUACUGGGGGAUAGCCCGGAGAAAUUCGGAUUAAUACCCCAUGACAAUAUUGAAAGGCAUCUUUUAAUAUUUAAAGCUUCGGCGGUACGAGAUGGGCAUGCGCAACAUUAGCUAGUUGGUAGGGUAACGGCCUACCAAGGCUUCGAUGUUUAGGGGACCUGAGAGGGUGAUCCCCCACACUGGUACUGAGACACGGACCAGACUCCUACGGGAGGCAGCAGUGAGGAAUAUUGGUCAAUGGGCGCAAGCCUGAACCAGCCAUCCCGCGUGCAGGAAGAAGGCGCUAUGCGUCGUAAACUGCUUUUCCAGGGGAAGAAAACCCGCUACGUGUAGCGGCUUGCCGGUACCCUGGGAAUAAGCAUCGGCUAACUCCGUGCCAGCAGCCGCGGUAAUACGGAGGAUGCGAGCGUUAUCCGGAUUUAUUGGGUUUAAAGGGUGCGUAGGCGGAUUAAUAAGUCAGUGGUGAAAACCUUCAGCUUAACUGGAGACUUGCCAUUGAUACUGUUAGUCUUGAGUACGGUCAAGGUAGGCGGAAUGUGUAAUGUAGCGGUGAAAUGCUUAGAUAUUAUACAGAACACCGAUUGCGAAGGCAGCUUACUGGGCCAUUACUGACGCUGAUGCACGAAAGCGUGGGGAGCGAACAGGAUUAGAUACCCUGGUAGUCCACGCCGUAAACGAUGAUCACUCGCUCUUAGCGAUACACAGUGAGCGGCUAAGCAAAAGCAUUAAGUGAACCACCUGGGGAGUACGUCGGCAACGGUG